rnacentral:rRNA from 1 species
CCCUUAGAUGUUCUGGGCCGCACGCGCGCUACACUGAUGCAUUCAACGAGUCCAACCUUGACCGAGAGGUCCGGGUAAUCUUUGAAACUGCAUCGUGAUGGAGCUAGAUUAUUGCAAUUAUUAAUCUUCAACGAGGAAUGCCUAGUAAGCGUGAUUCAUCAAAUCGCGUUGAUUACGUCCCUGCCCUUUGUACACACCGCCCGUCGCUCCUACCGAUUGAGUGUGUUGGUGAGGAGUUUGGAUUGGCCUCGGAAGGUGGUUCGCCACCGUCCGUAGCUGAGAAGUUCUCCAAACCGCCCCACUUAGAGGAAGGAGAAGUCGUAACG